GUUGUGUUGUGAUAUCUUCCCGUGAGUCCCUGAUCUUGAUCGUACACGUUUGCGUGUAUGAUUAGUGUAUGAUUGAAUCGGGGGCGUCACAGCUGAUCCUUCAUGGGUGAAUUGGAUCCUCGGUGAAAGUCAACCUGUCCGAUCGCUACGCAUGGUGGUUGAGGAAAGGCGGAAACAACGGGACGUGCGACGAUGUCGAACCGCUUGUCCUCUUGCAUGCCGCACCCUAGAUUCUUUUCCCCCAAUCCCCACAGCCGUCUCCCACACCCUUCCUCCUCCUUCCUUCCUCGCUCGUCAGCCACCGCAGCCGCCGCACCCUCCCGCAUUGGACGCCGCUAGGCUCGUCCAUGGCUCCAUCUCUCGUCCCAGCCUGACCCAGGCGGAGCCAUGGGCAGAAGAGAGGAGGAAGGGAGGCAGAGGAACGAUGGGGAAGGGGAUGUCAGAAUCCAAUCGCCCCGGCCGUGCCUACACGAGUAGCACCGCUUCUUUCCUGCCCGACGAGGGGUAGGUCUUGACAAUGGCUGCCCGAGGCCGUCAGAUCCGUCACCGUCGUUGUUCUUUUGGUCGAGGCAGUCGUCGUCCACGUGCUCCUCUUCACCACCACAGCUGGACGCUGGUGAGGCUAGCCUCCCCCUCCAAGCGCAGGUACUUUCCCGUUCCUUUCUAUGCUCUCUCUCAUCCCCUUAUCUAUCUCUCUGUUGUACAUGGAAACAGAUUUACCCAGUUCUCAGUCUAGAUUUAAUGAAGGAAACAACUAUUCAUACAUCGCCAAUUAUGGAUAUGGAUCCAUCUUGCUGCGCUGGACGAAGGGUUGGAUGGAAUAAGAAUUGCUUCCUCUAGGAAGAUAUAAUCAGGAGGGACCAUCUAAUAGUUGCUAAAGUUACUUCUGAACGCACUCUCUAAAGAUCGGGCUGGGCUUGACUGGGUUUUUGGAGUUCUCUUCUCGUUUCUUAGGAUCCUCAUGCUGUUUGACAAGGGGUUCCUUGCAAUGGGAAAUGUUCUCUUCGUCUCUGGUGUUCCGCUAACGAUUGGACUAAAGUCAACUUUCCAGUUCUUCACAAAGCCUAAGAAUCGCAAGGUCAUAUACAUGUAAUAUUUAAUUAGGCACUUUUGCUAUCCCUGGAACUACACAAGUCAAUAGAGCUGAUGUUCAUCAUUGUUUCUGGAUUGUACAUCUUUCAGUUGGAUUAAGGUUUUUCCUAUUGUCUGCAAAUGAAACGAACUUGAUGUACCUCUGGUAUGGUAAAAGAAGAGAUUGCCCUUUCCUUUUGUAAAAUUUUCUGCAGACGAUGUUGUGGAGAUUGAUUUGAGAAUUUGUGUGCUUAUUAGUUCCACUACUUUUUUCUCAUUAACUGAUAUUAGACAAUGGUGUAUAAAUGUUGCACCUGACUCUGUUUUCCAAGGAUAUACGAAUGAAGCUAUAGUACAUGCAAACUGUGACUCCUCUUCGCUGGACAAGGAAAGUAAAAAU